GACGAACGCUGGCGGCGUGCUUAACACAUGCAAGUCGAGCGGUAAGGCUCCUUCGGGAGUACACGAGCGGCGAACGGGUGAGUAACACGUGAGCAACCUGCCCUUCACAUCGGAAUAACCUCGGGAAACCGAAGCUAAUACCGAAUACGACCACCGAAGGCAUCUUCUGGUGGUGGAAAGCUCCGGCGGUGAAGGAUGGGCUCGCGGCCUAUCAGCUUGUUGGUGGGGUAAUGGCCUACCAAGGCGACGACGGGUAGCCGGCCUGAGAGGGUGACCGGCCACACUGGGACUGAGACACGGCCCAGACUCCUACGGGAGGCAGCAGUGGGGAAUAUUGGACAAUGGGCGAAAGCCUGAUCCAGCAACGCCGCGUGAGGGAUGACGGCCU
rnacentral:rRNA from 1 species